rnacentral:misc_RNA from 1 species
CUCUCUUUCUCUCUCUCUGUGUGUGGAGAGAAUUAUCACGAAGCCCUCGGUGAUAGCUUUUUCAUGCCCCAGCUCUUGUUCUCUCUGUUAAAAGGAAAGGACCCAUUUUAUUAUUUCCUGGAAAGAGUAAUCAGAUGCAUCACUUAAUUCUUGUUAUUGACUGCAACUUCCAAUAGCGAAGACCCAAACAGUCAAUUUGACAUUUAAAGAAAUUUGCUUCAUGUGAAUUACCCUAUAAUUAACAUUUCUUAAAUAAUGAUUGCACCAGGCAAGCAGGAAAUGGAGAUGCACAAGAAAAUUCCCUUUUCUUGAUUAAAAAAUGAUGAUUCUCUACAGUAAAAGGCUGUUUGUGACUGUAUAUGGAAUAGAGAAGGAAAUGCUAGUAGCAAGCUUUAUUGGGUUUAGAUAAAGAAGAGAAUUUUGACAGGAAGCAGCAGGGAUUAUAUAAAUAUAAGAUAUAAAAGAAUGAAAGUGGAAAUGGAAUCAUAGAACUCAGGAAUUAAAACAGAACUGACAGGGGUGAGAGAAACGAUAGAACACACAUGAGGUGAGGAGGGAAAGUUUGUGGUAUUUCGAGGGAGAAAGUGUGGCCUGG